GCAAUGGACGAAAGUCUGACGGAGCAACGCCGCGUGAGUGAUGAAGGCUUUCGGGUCGUAAAACUCUGUUGUUAGGGAAGAACAAGUGCUAGUUGAAUAAGCUGGCACCUUGACGGUACCUAACCAGAAAGCCACGGCUAACUAC
rnacentral:rRNA from 1 species